rnacentral:rRNA from 1 species
AGCAGCCGCGGUAAUUCCAGCUCCAAUAGCGUAUAUUAAAGUUGUUGCAGUUAAAAAGCUCGUAGUUGAACCUUGGGCCUGGCUGGCCGGUCCGCCUCACCGCGUGUACUGGUCCGGCCGGGCCUUUCCUUCUGGGGAACCUCAUGCCCUUCACUGGGCGUGUUGGGGAACCAGGACUUUUACUUUGAAAAAAUUAGAGUGUUCAAAGCAGGCCUUUGCUCGAAUACAUUAGCAUGGAAUAAUAGAAUAGGACGUGUGGUUCUAUUUUGUUGGUUUCUAGGACCGCCGUAAUGAUUAAUAGGGAUAGUCGGGGGCAUCAGUAUUCAAUCGUCAGAGGUGAAAUUCUUGGAUUGAUUGAAGACUAACUACUGCGAAAGCAUUUGCCAAGGAUGUUUUCAUUAAUCAGUGAACGAAAGUUAGGGGAUCGAAGACGAUCAGAUACCGUCGUAGUCUUAACCAUAAACUAUGCCGACUAGGGAUCGGACGGUGUUAGUAUUUUGACCCG